rnacentral:lncRNA from 12 species
AAGUCCAGAUGAAAGCCAAUGCUAACUGCCAGAUAGGUAUCCUUCUAUAUGGUGAUGGAGCAGCCAGACUCUUUCCAUCUUGGGGUACUGCCGUCUUCAGCAUGUGGCUUCCGAGGAUGCCAUCUAAGAAACAGAGAGUGCACUAUGCCAUAGCAUGAAGAAAGUAAUUGCUUGAUUGAAAAAGUACCAAGUUGAGAGAUACUAUUCAAUAAUGUACAAUGUCAUUUUCAACAAUGAAGGCAAGUGAAGUGAAGAUAUAGAUGAUUGUGUUACAUUGAUUUGUAAUCUGGCAUUGAGUAUAAAUGUUAAUAAUUUGAUCAUUCACAAUUAAUAAAUGUGCUUUGAGAUGGUCUAAACA